UUCAACCCCAGAGAAGAGCA
rnacentral:tRNA from 12 species